AUGGAUCUGGAACCGGCCGUGCUCAUUCCCGCGGUUCUUUUCACCUUCGUGGCUCUGGUUUUUGCUUCCUCGCUCCUCGGUAGGAAGACCGACUCCUCGUCCUCUUCAGGCGGGACCAAAAAGCCCAAAGUCGGCUACGGAGAUGAGGCUCCUCCGUCCAGAGCGCUGGGAGAACCGCUCCGGUCCCCGGGACCAGAGCCACCGGCUCCGGAGGAAAAGAACCGAGAGUCGGAGGUGAAGGCUGCUCCUGUGACCGCACCAGAACCCGUCUCAGUACAAGAACCAGAACCAGCACAGAAACCUAUUCCAGUACCAGAACCUGCUGCAGAACCAGAACCGCCACGGAAACCUAUUCCAGUACCAGAACCUGCUGCAGAACCAGAACCGCCACGGAAACCUAUUCCAGUACCAGAACCAGUACAAGAACCAGAACCUGCUGCAGAACUAGAACCGCCACGGAAACCUAUUCCAGUACCAGUACCAGAACAUGCUGCAAAACCAGAACCAGCACCGGAACAUGUGAUGGUACUCAAACCUGUUACAAAGCCAGCUAAUCCAGAUAAAGCACUAGAACCGGCUCCAGAACCAGUUAAAGGUCCAGAAAAUGUCCCUGAAAAAGUAAUUGCGCCAGAACCUGACCCUGAACCAGUUCCAGAACCAUCAUUGGAGCCAGCUGUAGAAUCUGUACCUGAACCUGUUCUAGAGUCGGAUCCGGUUGCUGAUCCAGAACCAGAAGUAAUGUCCGAACCAGUACCUGAAGUGGUUCAACAGCAUGUGACCGAACCAGAACCAGAGAACGCUGACGAUUCUGCACCUGGACCAGUUCCUGAAUCACCCAAACCUGCUGAAGAGGUGUCCAAAGAACCAGAACCAGAGGUCGUCCUGGCCGAUGUGGCUGCAGCUGGCGAGGAGCUGAUGAAACCCGCCCAGCUGGAGACGCUGUUGAUGAAGGAGGUGAAGGAGGAGCAGAGGAUUGAGUUGACCCCUGACUUCACCUGUCUCUAGUCCACCUGAGCAGCCUAUGCUGGAGGGACCUGAUGGCUUCCCCUCAUCCUCUUAACCCCCCCACAGACCCCAGACCAGCUGGGUCUGAGGAGACUCUAUCCCUGAGGACUAAGACCUUCUUACUGGACUCCAGCUGGUUUUCUAAAAGCUCUGCAGAAUUAAAUUCAGGUCCAGAUUUUAAGAUCAAGAAUAAGGAGAACCCAACACGAGAGCCCAGAAACCUCUGGGUUCUGUGCAUCUGCUGGAGAACGAAGUUCUGGGGGUUUUAUCUUGUGAAGACUGGAUACAGCAGAAGUUCUGGAGGUUCUGAAAGUCUUCAGGUUGGGUUUGGACCUCUGUGGCUCUGCAGACAUCGGACUCAAGCUAACCGAACCAGCUGAUUCUGGUCCAGGAGCGCCCCCUACUGUCGGAACCAGACACUGUACUUUAACCGUUAGGGUCUUGGUUCUGACUGAGCUGACAAGGACUAACCUGGAGAGUCAGAC
rnacentral:lncRNA from 1 species